rnacentral:lncRNA from 10 species
CAGGGAAACAGGAAUAGUCAGCAAUGGAACCUGGCUUAAAACCCAGAUAUCGUGAUUCAUGAUCAAUGGCCUAAAGGAAAUCCUUGGUGUAGAGGGCACUAAUGGAUCUCCCCAGAGCAGGCUGGGACAUCCCAAGAUACCUGAGGAGUUGGUGCCCUGAGCCCCCCGCGCCUCCAGCCCAUGACUUGGAGCUGAUCAAAGUGGGAGUAGGAGUACCUGGGUGCAUGAUGCUUUGGGUUACUUUCAUCUGAAAUAGCAGUUAAUCCUCACAGCCUCACCUCUACCCUGCUUCACCUUGAGUGGCCUGGAACAGUAAGAAGGUCACGAGCUCCCUCUGCUGAAGCCCACAGAAGGGCCCACCCACUGUGGAAGAGCUGGCUUCAUCUCUGAGUAUGCUGGGGUCACUCUGGAUGUUGGAAGCCUGGGAUCAGGACCUGAGGUCUGCUAGUUACAUGUCCUUGCCUUUAUGCUGCUGUGGGCAGAACAAAAUCUAGUUCUUUCCCUUUUCAUGCCACUAUGUAACACAGUCUCAAUCUGGCCCAGAAAGAUGAAAAAAGGAAUAUAAUUCACAAAGUAAAAUGAGUGAUCUUUUUUCUGAAAUAACUCCUCUAUUUUUACAAUGUUGUUUAUUCAAUAUAAAAAAUUCAGGGGAGAAGGAAAUCCUCAGAAAAGUGAUUCCUUUCUCUCAUAUGUUCAUAAAUGUUGCCAAGGAGUUCUUCCUGGUGUCUAACCUAAAUCCUACCCGCUGGGGGUAAACCCAGUUUCUUCUGUCUUAUUAUCAUGGGAUUCUGGCACAUUUUGAAAUUCAGCAGGAAAUUUGGCUGCUCAACCAAGAAUGGAAGCAUCCUCUGUACUAGCCAUGUGAGUUUGGACAAGUUAUUUAACUUCUCAGUGGUUAUAAACCUCUCAUCCUGUAAAAUGAGGAUGAUAAUGACAUUACCUGUUUGAUAGGGUUGUUGUGGGGAUUAAUUAAUUUGUAAAACAUAUUAAUAGUGCCGGGUACUAUUGUUGUUUUUCUGCUUUUAGGUAUCACAAUCAGAUUGUGUUAGAGGGGUCAGCAGGUUUCCAUGCAUUUCAUUGUUACAACACUCUACCGUGUAUUUAUUUGUGCAAUCACCUGAUUAAUGUGUGCAACUCUUACUAGCGGGUGAACUCCAAGAAGACAGGGAACUUGCCUGUCUUAUUCACCACUGAAUCCCCA